UGGGAUGACUGGCUGUGGACUUGUUGCUGACUCAACAUCAAGAUCUUGUCUCAGAUUGUUUGGUCAGGAUCAGAGCAGCUGGACGCCUGCAUGUAUGAAUUAAUUAGCAACUUCAAAACGCCAAAUCCUCUGACACCAUAAGAAGAGGAGUGACAGCAGAAGAGUCACGGCCAGCGACAGCCGGCAGACACGGCCUGCAGGAACCUCCAGAGGGGCCGUGAGACCACCAAACAUCUGAAAGCCUUGAGAGACUCUGGAAGUGCCCACCAUAGAGAGCUUACUAAAGGAGAAUGUGCUCCUUUCCACUCAGUCUGUGAAUAUGUCCAGUUACAGGACUGACACAAAGACAACAACUGUCUUAUAAAGUGUGACUCUGCUCUGAUGGGGAGCAUGUCAGACUGUGAAGGACAUGUAAGAACCUUGGAAACCUUUGGAAAAAUGCAGGGACAGUCUAUCCUACAACU